CCGGAUAAAAAAGACUACUUUCGCAUGAAAGAAGUUUAAAAAAGGACGGCGUAAAGCUGUCGCUAAAGGAUGGACCUGCGAUGCAUUAGCUAGUUGGUAAGGUAACGGCUUACCAAGGCGAUGAUGCAUAGCCGAGUUGAGAGACUGAUCGGCCGCAUUGGGACUGAGACACGGCCCAAACUCCUACGGGAGGCAGCAGUAGGGAAUCUUCCACAAUGGACGCAAGUCUGAUGGAGCAACGCCGCGUGAGUGAAGAAGGUUUUCGGAUCGUAAAGCUCUGUUGUUGGUGAAGAAGGAUAGAGGUAGUAACUGGCCUUUAUUUGACGGUAAUCAACCAGAAAGUCACGGCUAACUACGUGCCAGCAGCCGCGGUAAAU
rnacentral:rRNA from 1 species